rnacentral:rRNA from 1 species
UACGUAGGGGGCAAGCGUUGUCCGGAAUCAUUGGGCGUAAAGCGCGUGUAGGCGGCCCGAUAAGUCCGCUGUGAAAGUCCAGGGCUCAACCCUGGGAUGCCGGUGGAUACUGUCGGGCUCGAGUCCGGAAGAGGCGAGUGGAAUUCCUGGUGUAGCGGUGAAAUGCGCAGAUAUCAGGAGGAACACCAGUGGCGAAGGCGGCUCACUGGACCGGUUCUGACGCUGAGGCGCGAAAGCGUGGGGAGCAAACGGG